GAUCAUGGCUCAGGACGAACGCUGGCGGNGUGCUUAACACAUGCAAGUCGAACGAGAAUCUACUGAAGGAGUUUUCGGACAACGGAUGUAGAGGAAAGUGGCGGACGGGUGAGUAACGCGUGAGGAACCUGCCUUGAAGAGGGGGGACAACAGUUGGAAACGACUGCUAAUACCGCAUGACGCAUAGGGGUCGGCAUGAUCUUUAUGCCAAAGAUUUAUCGCUUCAAGAUGGCCUCGCGU
rnacentral:rRNA from 1 species